GAUGAACGCUGGCGGCGUGCCUAAUACAUGCAAGUCGAGCGAACAGACGAGGUGCUUGCUCCUCUGACGUUAGCGGCGGACGGGUGAGUAACACGUGGAUAACCUACCUAUAAGACUGGGAUAACUUCGGGAAACCGGAGCUAAUACCGGAUAACAUGUUGAACCGCAUGGUUCAACAGUGAAAGACGGUCUUGCUGUCACUUAUAGAUGGAUCCGCGCCGCAUUAGCUAGUUGGUAAGGUAACGGCUUACCAAGGCAACGAUGCGUAGCCGACCUGAGAGGGUGAUCGGCCACACUGGAACUGAGACACGGUCCAGACUCCUACGGGAGGCAGCAGUAGGGAAUCUUCCGCAAUGGGCGAAAGCCUGACGGAGCAACGCCGCGUGAGUGAAGAAGGUCUUCGGAUCGUAAAACUCUGUUAUUAGGGAAGAACAAAUGUGUAAGUAACUAUGCACGUCUUGACGGUACCUAAUCAGAAAGCCACGGCUAACUACGUG
rnacentral:rRNA from 1 species